rnacentral:pre_miRNA from 2 species
GUAGUACUCCCUCCGUCCAAAAAAUUGUCUUAGAUUUGUCAAGAUAUGAAUGUAUCUAGUCAUAUUUUAGUAUUUAGAUACAUCCAUUUUUAGACAAACCUAAGACAAGAAUUUUGGGACGAAGGGAGUACUCG